UGGCCCUAUAAAAGGCAAAAAGACAAAAAAUAAAAAUAAAAACACUGCACCUUGCUCGUGAUAAUGGGGCCGUGAUUUUUUUUUCUCUAAACAGGAUCGCCCAUUUUGUAUUAUAUUCAUCCCUCCUGCCUUCAGACACGUCUCUCCUCUCUCCCCAGCUCCAGGACAGGCCCAGAGACAUCCGCUUCCAUGAGGAGCCAUCUUUGGAGCAAAAGAAUAGGAACUCCUGAAUAACCUCCACCACAGCUGUGUGCACAGAGCCCAGAACAGUAAAUUGUUCAACACUCAAGGCUCUUGGCUGUGUUAACUUCUGUUAGGCAGCAGAGGCCAGGAAACAAGUGGAGAACCAGAAGAGGAAGGAAGGCCCCAGGAGGUAGGCUUUACCAAGUGAGUAAAGGAAACUCUUUCCAGGAGAAAUCCAGGGUGGGAGAAGUCCGGAGCCCAGCGACCAAUGUGGAGGUGGAAGAGGCUAGCAAGCGUGGCUCCUUCCUCUCCUGAGGGCAGGACCUGCAGGAAGAAAUGAGAGUGUCAACUCUCAGCUGAGCUUUUCAGUCAAGCUUCUCCUUCAAGGAGCUGCUGGAGGUGCACGUGUCCUCUUUUGCUUGCUCUGCACCCGUGGAUAUCUCAGAUCAGCUGCUGGAAUCUAUCCUCUGUCUGCUCUCAUUGCCCUUCAUCACAGCAGGUGCUGCUGCAUCAAAGGCCGAGUGAGGUGGUAUUGGGAGUAUUAUGAUUGUGCGGGUGGCCCUGCCUACAGACUGAAAGUGUGAAGACGGCUGCAUGGACUGGACGCACUGACUUUCAGAGAUGGAAGUCAAGGAGAAGCCCAGAGAGGGGAGGAGGGAGCAAGCCUGAUGCAACCAGGAGGGGCUUUGAGCGCUGGUCUGCUCAGGCUGCAGAACCAAAUGCCACAGACUCGAUGGCUUCAUCACUAGAUAUUUAUUUCUCACAGUUCUGGAGGCUAGAAGGUGCCAAUGGAUUUGGUUUCUUCUGAGGCCUCUGUCCUUGGCUCGCAGAUGGCCACCUACUCCCUGUGUAUGGACAGGCCACUCAAGAUGGCUGUUCUCUUGCUCUCUGUACAUGUGCUGCUUGACCAGUGCCUGCUUCACCUUCACCCUGCUCACCUGGCUGACCUUCCUACGUACUUGCCCCAGGCCCCAGCUCUUUCUAAUCAAAGAGCAGUGUGAGCUUGCCCCCUCUGUUGGUUUCCCUGGUAACGAAGGAGCCCACCAGAUGUCAAUUCUCCCAGUAACUGGCAACUCCCCUAGCCCCCAGCAAAGCCGCCACAUCCUGCCUGCUGUUCACUGUCCAUGGUGGGGUAUCACCGCAGGACCAUGCUUCAGACGUGUAAGCUCCCCCAUCCAUUAAACCACGAUGCCUCUG